rnacentral:lncRNA from 1 species
AUCAUGGAAUAAUAUGCCUUUUUAAAGACAGAGUUUCUUCUGAAUUUAUUGACUGGAAGAGGCUUCCAUGAUUGUUGGGCCCCAAGAGGCUAAGAUGGCGCCGGGUGGCCUUCUCUUCCGGAUCGGGAACCCACAUGGCCGACCACAAAGGCGCCAAAGUGGCGGUUUCGGUUUCCCAUCAGUUUCGUUUCCCGAGAGCCUCCACCCCCUGCAGGGCGUGUCUCUCCCAACUCCCGCCAACGUGACACAUCCCCAUUGGCCCCCACUUUGCUGACCUCACUUCCCUUCCCUCACCCCAUAUAAGCUGCUGCCCUGCUCAAUAAAGCGAGAUCCUGCUUCGACAGACUUCCCGAGCCUGGUGUCGUUCCUCUGCGGGUUCCGGGUUCGCAGGGUUCGCGACACUCGCCAUCCCGCUCAGCCCCUAGUGGGGGUCUCCGGCCGGCCCGGCGACGCGCCCCACACAUGAUGGUUUAAAUGACAAGACUGUGGGGCUCAAACAUUCCCACCUGCCCUUGCUGUCACCACACCUCGUUUGAGAUUGUUACUUCUCCAGCAUCUGGCUUCCAACAUCCACAGAAAAAUGAACAAGAGGAAGGUUUAAGAGCUCUUCAAACAGGAUUGACUUAUGGGAUUAUGAAGACUGAGAAUUCCCAUGAUCUGUUGUCUGCAUGCUGGAGCCCCAAGAAAGCCAGUGGUAUAGUUCCCUUCCAAGCAUGGAGGCCUGAGAACCAUGGAAGACAAUGGUAG